rnacentral:rRNA from 1 species
UGCCCAAGAGAUCGGGAUAACACCUGGAAACAGAUGCUAAUACCGGAUAACAACAGAUGAUGCCUAUCAACUGUUUAAAAGAUGGUUCUGCUAUCACUCUUGGAUGGACCUGCGGUGCAUUAGCUAGUUGGUAGGGUAACGGCCUACCAAGGCGAUGAUGCAUAGCCGAGUUGAGAGACUGAUCGGCCACAUUGGGACUGAGACACGGCCCAAACUCCUACGGGAGGCAGCAGUC